GAUGAACGCUGGCGGCGUGCCUAAUACAUGCAAGUCGAGCGAAUGGAUUAAGAGCUUGCUCUUAUGAAGUUAGCGGCGGACGGGUGAGUAACACGUGGGUAACCUGCCCAUAAGACUGGGAUAAAUCCGGGAAACAGGGGCUAAUACCGGAUAACAUUUUGAACCGCCUGGUUAGAGAUUGAAAGGCGGCUUCGUCUGUCACUUAUGGAUGUACCUGCGUCGUAUUAGCUAGUUGGUGAGGUACCGGCUAACCAAGGCAACGAUGCGUAGCCGACCUGAGAGGGUGAUCGGCCACACUGGGACUGAGAGACGGCCCAGACUCCUACGGGAGGCAGCAGUAGGGAAUCUUCCGCAAUGGACGAAAGUCUGACGGAGCAACGCCGCGUGAGUGAUGAAGGCUUUCGGGCCGUAAAACUCUGUUGUUAGGGAAGAACAAGUGCUAGUUGAAUAAGCUGGCACCUUGACGGUACCUAAACAGAAAGCCACGGCUAACUACGUGCCAGCAGCCGCAGUAA
rnacentral:rRNA from 1 species